rnacentral:rRNA from 1 species
GGGUACACGAGCGGCGAACGGGUGAGUAACACGUGGGUGAUCUGCCCUGCACUCUGGGAUAAGCUUGGGAAACUGGGUCUAAUACCGGAUAUGACCNCAUGNNGCAUGNGGUGUGGUGGAAAGAUUUAUCGGUGCAGGAUGGGCCCGCGGCCUAUCAGCUUGUUGGUGGGGUAAUGGCCUACCAAGGCGACGACGGGUAGCCGACCUGAGAGGGUGACCGGCCACACUGGGACUGAGACACGGCCCAGACUCCUACGGGAGGCAGCAGUGGGGAAUAUUGCACAAUGGGCGGAAGCCUGAUGCAGCGACGCCGCGUGAGGGAUGAAGGCCUUCGGGUUGUAAACCUCUUUCAGCAGGGACGAAGCGUGAGUGACGGUACCUGCAGAAGAAGCACCGGCUAACUACGUGCCAGCAGCC